CCUACGGGGGGCAGCAGUGGGGAAUAUUGGACAAUGGGGGGAACCCUGAUCCAGCCAUGCCGCGUGUGUGAAGAAGGCCCUCGGGUUGUAAAGCACUUUCAGUGAGGAAGAACGCCUGGUGGUUAAUACCCAUCAGGAAAGACAUCACUCACAGAAGAAGCACCGGCUAACUCCGUGCCAGCAGCCGCGGUAAUACGGAGGGUGCGAGCGUUAAUCGGAAUUACUGGGCGUAAAGCGCGCGUAGGUGGCUUGAUAAGCCGGUUGUGAAAGCCCCGGGCUCAACCUGGGAACGGCAUCCGGAACUGUCAAGCUAGAGUGCAGGAGAGGAAGGUAGAAUUCCCGGUGUAGCGGUGAAAUGCAUAGAGAUCGGGAGGAAUACCAGUGGCGAAGGCGGCCUUCUGGACUGACACUGACACUGAGGUGCGAAAGCGUGGGUAGCAAACAGGAUUAGAUACCCCUGUAGUC
rnacentral:rRNA from 1 species